rnacentral:lncRNA from 1 species
GCUGUGCGCUCCUCGCUGCCUAGGAUGCUGGAGGCGCACUCGGGCAGCCACGGCUCCCGCGCACCUCCCUCUCUUCUGCACCCGUUGUCACGAUGCGCGCCCGCGAGGGAGCCUCGCCAACCUCCAGGUGAAUUGAAAGUCGUCUCCCAGGGCGGACGGAGAGGGUGCUGCAGUUCUGGCAUGCACUAAAACUGCAAGUCGGGCAGAAAGAGCCCAGCCGAGGAGUGGGGCACGCGGUGCCCAGCACAGCAUCCCGGGGCUGCUGAAGGUGGCUGAAGCUCAAGCUUGCAGCAAGAACUCUGCUCUGGACCCGGAACCUGGGCACACUUGCCACCGAGAGACCAGUUUUCCCCUCUUGCGCAUUUCUCAGCCGCCGCUGGCGUGGGGAAUGCGAGCACGGUGGUGACUCCCGGUCGCUCAGAAGCAGCUGCUGGUGGGAGAGCGAGCAGAGGCACGGGGGCGGCAGCCUCGGCCCGAAGUUUCUUCCCUUGGGCCCUGGGUUUGACAUCUUCCUCCAUGAGCAAAAGUCUUUCUACAGCAAGAAAUACUGACUAUGGGGUGAGUGAAACAACUUGAUAAUCAACACGUGUGUAUUAUCAGAGUAUCUCCCUUGGUAUCUUGAGAAGUUAAUAUGUUUUCCUCUAAGUUUUUUAUGAUUAUAUGUAUACAUUUAAUAAGCCACAUUUCUUUUGCUAUGUCAGAUCCACACAAUUGUGUCUUUAAAAAAAUCAAGGAGUUAAUUCCCUUUGAUAGCUUUAGAAUAAAUCUUCACUGUCAUAGACUGUAACAUGAGAUAAAAAUUGACACUCAGAUACCAAAGAGGCUUUUCAGAUCUUGUCUUAGUUGGCUGGCAUCUGUUUUGUUACACGAGGAAUGAACCCAGGUUCAUAAAAGAUUCAUCCUGCGAUGUGGAUGCCAACAGUGGAGCACUUAUGCACACAGCAGAAAUCCGGACUUGCAGCCACAUCAAGACAUUGGUUUUCUACUGUGUCUUGUCAGAUUCCUGCAGAGACGCCAUGGGAGCCAGACAGCCUGGGGCACACAGUUCAACGGCACCAAUAGUUAGUACAGAGAAGUUUCCAGGUAACACAGAGGCACAUCGUCACAGUGAAGGGCCCUCUGCUUUUUCUGCCCUGGCAGGAAGGCUUUAAUUGAAACAAAA